rnacentral:lncRNA from 1 species
GAAACUGUAGGAACAGGUCUUCCGCUUCAACUCGGGAACUGUUGCCAUCUCUAUCAGUAGACAAGCUCAGGAAUGUACCUGAGAAAUGAUAUGCAUGCAGAGAUUAAUUUUUUUUCUUCUUUUUUUCUUUUCUUUUGAUUUUUUUUUAUAUAUAUUUUUUUUCAAUGCGUUUCUUUUGAAAAAUAAAUAUGCUAUGAUGCACAUGAUGCAGACACGGCUGGCUGGUUGUGCAAUCUCUGAUCACUGGGUCGAAGCUUCAGUCAAAAUCAGAACAUAAAUCCAACUUAAGGUCAACUGAACACUGUCUGAACACAAAGUCACCAUCAGAACCAAGUCACCAACAGAACCGAGUCACCAACGGUACCUGUAAUGAANNNNNNN